ensembl:lncRNA
UCAGUUUGUUAUAUCUGGAGUACUUCUCCUGUCUUAUCCGGUGUCCUGUGUGAAUUUAAGUAUGCUCUCUCUAAUUCUCUUUCUUUCUUUCUCUAUCUCGGAGGACCUGAGCCCUAGGACCAUGCCUCAGGACUACCUGGCAUGAUGACUCCUUGCUGUCCCCAGUCCACCUGGCCGCGCUGCUGCUCCAGUUUCAACUGUUCUGCCUGCGGCUAUGGAACCCUGACCUGUUCACCGGAUGUGCUACUUGUCCCAGACCUGCUGUUUUCAACUCUCUAGAGACAGCAGGAGCGGUAGAGAAACUCCUAAUGAUCGGCUAUGAAAAGCCAACUAACAUUUACUCCGGAGGUCCCAGAUGUGCUCAAUGGGAUUGAGAUGCAGAACACUGACAUUCCUGUCUUGCAGGAAAUCACACACAGAAAGAGCAAUAUGGCUGGUGGCAUUGUCAUGCUGGAGGGUCAUUUCAGGAUGAGCCUGCAGGAAGGGUACCACAUGAGGGAGGAGGAUGUCUUCAAUGUAAUGCACAGCGUUAAGAUUGCCUGCAAUGACAACAAGCUCAGCCCGAUGAUGCUGUGACACACCGCCCCAGACCAUGAUGGACCCUAAUGCACGUUCACGCAGAUGACCAGGGACCCUGGGCAUCUUUAUUUUGGUGUUUUUAAAGAGUCAGUAGAAAGGCCUCUUUACUAUCCUAAAUUUUCUGUGACCUUAAUUGCCCACGGUCUGUAAGCUGUUCGUGUCUUUACGACCAUUCCACAGGUGCAUGUUCAUUCAUUGUUUAUGGUUAUUUAUUUGGAUUUUUACCAGUUAUCUUUGAAAGACAGGGUCCUGAAAAAGGGACGUCUAGUUUUUUUGCUGAGUUUAUAUGCAUCACUGUCUGCAGUUUAUGAUUUGCAAUGUUUGGUCACUAGUUCCACUACACAGAGUAGUUAAGCUAAAGCACUCGUAUCAGGACUUUUAAAAAGUGCUUUUUAUUCUCAUUGAUUAGGGCACAAGGAGCAAAGCCUACCUCUCAUACCCACUCAGGCGACUUUUGUUUUGGAAAAAAUAAAUAAAGUACUUGAGGAAGGAAUUUGGUGUCAGAUGUUGCUGAUUGUGAAUGUUGCAGAUGCCAUCUAUUUUAUGUCACUAGAUCCAUCCAACUCUCUUGUCUUACUGAGCUGUGUGAUCAUCGCUGUCAAAUGUCAGGUUUUGGGGUCAAGUCACUAAAUCAAAUUUUACUACUUGCAGAUGUAAAGUAUCUUGGGGUAUCGUCCGGAAUAUAUUAGUGUGUUCUGGCCAAGACAGCGUGGGGGGAACUGAGGCUAGAGGAGACUAAAUGAAUGUAUUAGUGUGUUCUGGCCAAGACAGCGUGGGGGGAACUGAGGCUAGAGGAGACUAAAUGAAUGUAUUAGUGUGUUCUGGCCAAGACAGUGUGGGGG